AAAUUGAAGAGUUUGAUCAUGGCUCAGAUUGAACGCUGGCGGCAGGCCUAACACAUGCAAGUCGAACGGUAACAGGAAGCAGCUUGCUGCUUUGCUGACGAGUGGCGGACGGGUGAGUAAUGUCUGGGAAACUGCCUGAUGGAGGGGGAUAACUACUGGAAACGGUGGCUAAUACCGCAUAAUGUCGCAAGACCAAAGAGGGGGACCUUCGGGCC
rnacentral:rRNA from 2 species